rnacentral:lncRNA from 1 species
GGGACACUCACGGUUGAGCUGGCGCCUCCGGAUCCUGUCCCUCCAUGGCCUGUUUCUGAUCCAGUGUAAUCGCGAAGGGGAUGGAGGAGGAAGCAAUUGAAGGGAGAUAAAGAAAGGAACAAUAAGGGGUCUUUUCUCCUUGACAUCUCUGCCAAGGCACCUUGACUCAUGAGAGUGUCCAGCCUACUUGAGGAAAAUUGUCCAAGAAGUCUAAAGGUUUCUUCCUUAUGAGGCUUGAGCAGGAAGUAUGGUAGAUACUCAUUCAUACCACAGGGUGUUGCCAUGGAAAUGGAUCAAAGUAAGGUGAUAUCCGAAGAGAACAGUAGCUGCCACUUAGAGCCUCAGAGAGGGGAGAAAGCCUUAAUGGAGACUUCACACUCUAAGGUGUGGUCCAGAGUGUGCCUACGACCCAAGGCACCAAGACAAGACCUAUCACCAGGAACUACCUCGCGAACUAAGCAAAAUCUCAACAGAACAAUGUACACCCACAUCC